rnacentral:rRNA from 1 species
AUUCCCCUAGUAACUGCGAGUGAAGCGGGAAAAGCUCAAAUUUAAAAUCUGGCGGUCUUUGGCCGUCCGAGUUGUAAUCUAGAGAAGUGUUAUCCGCGCUGGACCGUGUACAAGUCUCCUGGAAUGGAGCGUCAUAGAGGGUGAGAAUCCCGUCUUUGACACGGACUACCAGUGCUUUGUGAUACGCUCUCAAAGAGUCGAGUUGUUUGGGAAUGCAGCUCAAAAUGGGUGGUAAAUUCCAUCUAAAGCUAAAUAUUGGCGAGAGACCGAUAGCGAACAAGUACCGUGAGGGAAAGAUGAAAAGAACUUUGGAAAGAGAGUUAAACAGUACGUGAAAUUGCUGAAAGGGAAACGCUUGAAGUCAGUCGCGUUGGCCGGGGAUCAACCUUGCUUUUGCUGGGUGUACUUUCCGGUUGACGGGUCAGCAUCAAUUUUGACCGUUGGAUAAAGUGUAGGGGAAUGUGGCAUCUUCGGAUGUGUUAUAGCCUUUGCUCGUAUACAACGGUUGGGAUUGAGGAACUCAGUACGCCGCAAGGCCGGGAAUUUAUUCCACGUUCGUACUUAGGAUGCUGGCAUAAUGGCUUUAAUCGACCCGUCUUGAAACACGGACCAAGGAGUCUAACAUGCCUGCGAGUGUUUGGGUGGAAAACCCGAGCGCGUAAUGAAAGUGAAAGUUGAGAUCCCUGUCGUGGGGAGCAUCGACGCCCGGACCAGACCUUUUGUGACGGAUCUGCGGUAGAGCAUGUAUGUUGGGACCCGAAAGAUGGUGAACUAUGCCUGAAUAGGGUGAAGCCAGAGGAAACUCUGGUGGAGGCUCGUAGCGAUUCUGACGUGCAAAUCGAUCGUCAAAUUUGGGUAUAGGGGCGGAAAGACUAAUCGAACCAUCUAGUAGCUGGUUCCUGCCGAG